GCAACACUAGAAACUCCUUGAGACGUGCGAUACCUUCUCCCGGCUCUUCGAGAGACAUCAUGCUUACAUGUAAAAUAUAUCAUAGAUCACAGAGAGAUGCGAAAGGGAUCGAUCCUAAUUUGACAUUAAUUCUCGAAGAUUUUUAUCCAAGGAUUGGUAUCAAUAAUAU